UCUGUCUUUUGCUUGCCUCAAAACCUAGUGAAGGUGUGUGAUGCGAUAUAAAAUUGAGACCUUUGCUAGUGUUGGGCUGUCUCAAUGGUGACGACCGUGUUGUAAAUCUGAUACAUCACUAGUAUCAGUCACCUGACCAAAUAGAUAGUUCUUAUUGGAGAAAAGUUCAUGAAUUAUUAAUGAGGUUCCUUAUGGCAAUUACCUGGAGCACAUUAGUAGUAAUGCAUUUCGUUUUUUGAAUCCUGUUUGCAGUCUUACAGCGGCUUUUGGAAUAGCGGUGUUGUGUUUCAAGCUAUCUCAUGUUAUGGUGUCAGCGUCGCCAUAUGUGAUGAAUCUUGUGACAUCCUUUUUGAAGUAUUGUAUUUUUGAAGUUGCUAUUCGAUAGUCGUGAAAAUAUUUUGAAUGUAUUUGUAUUCCAUUUUCCUGUGCUAAAUUAUUGGACAAUUCUAAAACACUGAGUCUAAUUUGCGUCGACUUGAUUCAAGUGUCUGUUUACUCGUAUUACAUUCCUUGGAUGCCUGGNNCUCUACUUCCUUGUCNAAGAAGGGUCAGACAAGAUCGAUUUCACUUUGGAUGCGAAGGAGUAUAUGCAUGGACAAAGAUGUUUUGGCUUUUGAUAUGUAUUUUACUGAGCUUUGGCACCGUAACAAUCGAAGGAUGUGGCAAAGAUCUAACUGGAGAAAGCGGUCAGUCCUCAUUUGAUCCAUCUUCUUGCGUUUAUUGGAAGUCAAACUACACGUUGACGAUNGGNAAAGGCUUAAAGAACAUCAGUUUCAUUGUCAUCAAAUUCGAGCCGUUUAAUCUAGGAUGCACGUAACUCAAUGAAGUCAUUUUAAACUUGUCAAGAGCUUAACCGUUGACAUGGCUUCUCAAUUGACAAUUAACGUGGAAUCGAUAGAUGAAACAUUCGAAACUAAUACUNCCGUUUUUUACUCAAUCUGUGCUUUGGGAACUACAUACAUGCCUCUAUUUAAGUUUGCUCAAGUUUGCUCAAGUUGAAAAUUUUCCGCUUUUGGACAAUCUGAACCUUCGUUCCUCGUCUUCAACAGCCAUUUGAUUUCAAAUUCUGGUUAUCAGUAAUAAUUAUGCUGCGGAUUACGUUGAAGUUUCUGAUGCAAAUUACGAGUUUAAAAUAAAAAAAUGUCGUGGAAUGCGCCCAUUUGAAGUUUUGAUCAAGGAUCGUCCAGCAGUAAUCAGAUACCACUCUGAUAAAGGCUACUGGUACAGGUUUUCUGGAGUUAGUGUCACCUUCUACAUCAUCACUCAGAAAUUGUCAGAUUCAACUGUAAAUAGAUGGGAUCCAGCUAUUAAACAAUCCAAACCUGGUGAAGUUACCAUUGAUUGGGAUCACUCGACGCUGCCAUCAAAGAACUAUACUGUUGUGCCGUUUUAUAACUAUACAACGAAAGGGGAGCCAUUUCUGUACAUCAUUGAACAUAGAAAGGAAACGUCAAUGGUAACGCAACACCUCAAUCCAGGUUCUUCGUAUUCCUUUAAAGUCAUUGCUUUUAAUUCUGUGAACAUGAGAGCCGCCUUAGUCGUAAGCAGUACAACAACUGUCUUAAUGAGGAAUGGUACGUAAUGAUGUUUAUCAAGUUUCAGUGUAAAUUAAGGAAAUUGCUAGAAGAUAUUGGAUGGGCGGCCGGAGAUAUGGAUUUUUC
rnacentral:misc_RNA from 1 species